AUUAUUUUGGCAGAUUAGUGCUUUAAAUUUAGAAUUUAAUAAUGUAAUUUUUUAUAUUACAAAUAAU
rnacentral:tRNA from 1 species